AGCUCCAAUAGCGUAUAUUAAAGUUGCUGCAGUUAAAAAGCUCGUAGUUGGAUCUCGGGGUACCUGGUCUAGCCGGUAUAGCUCACGCUAAAACUGGUCUGACCCCCCAACGUGAGGUAUUCGUCUCCGGGUGCACUUCAUUGGGUGCUCGUGAGGGGCCUCGUAGUUACUGUGAAAAAAUUAGAGUGUUCAAAGCAGGCUCAUAUGUUCGGAUAGUCGUGCAUGGAAUAACUGAAUACGUGACAGGAGGGGAAGAGUGGGAGUCGGCGACUGGUCAAAUGAUUAAGAGGGACAGCCGGGGGCAUUGGUAUGGCGGGGUUAGAGGUGAAAUUCUUGGAUCCUCGCCAGACCAACAAAAGCGAAAGCAUUUGCCAAGAAUGUCUUCA
rnacentral:rRNA from 1 species